GUCAGAGGCGAUGAAGGGCGUGCUAAUCUGCGAUAAGCGCCGGUAAGGUGAUAUGAACCGUUAUAACCGGCGAUACCCGAAUGGGGAAACCCAGUGUGACUCGUCACACUAUCAUUAACUGAAUCCAUAGGUUAAUGAGGCGAACCGGGGGAACUGAAACAUCUAAGUACCCCGAGGAAAAGAAAUCAACCGAGAUUCCCCCAGUAGCGGCGAGCGAACGGGGAGGAGCCCAGAGCCUGAAUCAGCAUGUGUGUUAGUGGAAGCGUCUGGAAAGGCGCGCGAUACAGGGUGACAGCCCCGUACACAAAAGCGCAUGUGCUGUGAGCUCGAUGAGUAGGGCGGGACACGUGGUAUCCUGUCUGAAUAUGGGGGGACCAUCCUCCAAGGCUAAAUACUCCUGACUGACCGAUAGUGAACCAGUACCGUGAGGGAAAGGCGAAAAGAACCCCGGCGAGGGGAGUGAAAAAGAACCUGAAACCGUGUACGUACAAGCAGUGGGAGC
rnacentral:rRNA from 1 species